GACGUAGGGCGCAAGCGUUGUCCGGAUUUAUUGGGCGUAAAGAGCUCGUAGGCGGCCUGUUGCGUCCGCUGUGAAAGCCCCGGGGCUUAACCCCGGGUCGGCAGUGGAUACGGGCAGGCUAGAGGUAGGUAGGGGAGAAUGGAAUUCCCGGUGUAGCGGUGAAAUGCGCAGAUAUCGGGAGGAACACCGGUGGCGAAGGCGGUUCUCUGGGCCUUACCUGACGCUGAGGAGCGAAAGCGUGGGGAGCGAACAGG
rnacentral:rRNA from 1 species